rnacentral:rRNA from 1 species
GACGAACGCUGGCGGCGUGCUUAACACAUGCAAGUCGAACGGAAAGGCCCUGCUUUUGUGGGGUGCUCGAGUGGCGAACGGGUGAGUAACACGUGAGUAACCUGCCCUUGACUUUGGGAUAACUUCAGGAAACUGGGGCUAAUACCGGAUAGGAGCUCCUGCUGCAUGGUGGGGGUUGGAAAGUUUCGGCGGGUGGGGAUGGACUCGCGGCUUAUCAGCUUGUUGGUGGGGUAGUGGCUUACCAAGGCUUUGACGGGUAGCCGGCCUGAGAGGGUGACCGGCCACAUUGGGACUGAGAUGCGGCCCAGACUCCUACGGGAGGCAGCAGUGGGGAAGGUUGCACAAUGGGCGGAAGCCUGAUGCAGCAACGCCGCGUGCGGGAUGACGGCCUUCGGGUUGUAAACCGCUUUCGCCUGUGACGAAGCGUGAGUGACGGUAAUGGGUAAAGAAGCACCGGCUAACUACGUG